GACGAACGCUGGCGGCGUGCUUAACACAUGCAAGUCGAACGGUAAGGCCCUUCGGGGUACACGAGUGGCGAACGGGUGAGUAACACGUGGGUGAUCUGCCCUGCACUUCGGGAUAAGCCUGGGAAACUGGGUCUAAUACCGGAUAGGACCACUGCCUGCAUGGGUGGUGGUGGAAAGCUUUUGCGGUGUGGGAUGGGCCCGCGGCCUAUCAGCUUGUUGGUGGGGUGAUGGCCUACCAAGGCGACGACGGGUAGCCGGCCUGGGAGGGUGACCGGACACACUGGGACUGGGAGACGGCCCAGACUCCUACGGGAGGCAGCAGUGGGGAAUAUUGCACAAUGGGCGCAAGCCUGAUGCAGCGACGCCGCGUGAGGGAUGACGGCCUUCGGGUUGUAAACCUCUUUCAGUAGGGACGAAGCGCAAGUGACGGUACCUACAGAAGAAGGACCGGCCAACUACGUGCCAGCCGCCGCUGUAA
rnacentral:rRNA from 1 species